CUAUAGGUCCUGUUCUGAUCUCUAUAGCCUCUAUAGGUCCUGUCCUGAUCUCUAUAGCCUCUAUAGGUCCUGUUCUGAUCUCUAUAGCCUCUAUAGGUCCUGUUCUGAUCUCUAUAGCCUCUAUAGGUCCUGUUCUGAUCUCUAUAGCCUCUAUAGGUCCUGUCCUGAUCUCUAUAGGUCCUGUUCUGAUCUCUAUAGCCUCUAUAGGUCCUGUUCUGAUCUCUAUAGUCUCUAUAGGCCCUGUUCUGAUCUCUAUAGCCUCUAUAGGUCAUGUCCUGAUCUCUAUAGCCUCUAUAGGUCCUGUCCUGAUCUCUAUAGCCUCUAUAGGUCCUGUUCUGAUCUCUAUAGUCUCUAUAGGCCCUGUUCUGAUCUCUAUAGGUCAUGUUCUGAUCUCUAUAGGUCCUGUUCUGAUCUCUAUAGCCUCUAUAGGUCAUGUUCUGAUCUCUAUAGCCUCUAUAGGUCCUGUCCUGAUCUCUAUAGGUCCUGUCCUGAUCUCUAUAGCCUCUAUAGGUCCUGUUCUGAUCUCUAUAGGUCCUGUUCUGAUCUCUAUAGCCUCUAUAGGUCCUGUCCUGAUCUCUAUAGCCUCUAUAGGUCCUGUUCUGAUCUCUAU